ensembl:lincRNA Gm20619 predicted gene 20619
AGUGUCUCCCCUUUGAAAGGAGGGAUCGAGCAGAGCGUUCACUCACUCUGCACUCCCAUCGAAACCACAGGCUCCAGCUCUCUGUGCUAUCUGAGAGAAUAUAACCAUGUAGAAAGUCUUCAUGUGGAACAUCUGUUACGAAGAAAUUCUACUUGGAAAGCUUGUCUGCUCUAUUAACCCAUCCCUGUUGCUCACUUGGAAGAAGAGGGCCUUCACUUUCCACUGUAAGAAGAAGGUCUUCUGUUGCUCUGAACGCUUCUGUUUAGAGACCUUUCUUCAGUGUCCCCAAGGAGAUCCCAACCUUUUCCAAGAAAUUUCUGCCAUUUUCACUCAUGCACCUAAUCCAAGCUGAACUGUUUCCCAUCCCAUCCACAACAGUAUACAGUCUUCAUUGCUCUCUUACAGGAAGUGGUUUUGCUUCCUCCAUCCACGUACACAGCUCUUGAGGACCGAGUCUCUGACCUGCGACUUGUAAAGAUUCUGGGAAGUUUCUAGAGGGGCAAUUCAUGAAAGAAAGACUCAGUAACUUGAAUCUGCAAAUUUCAAAAUGUGGAAAAAGAAUUUUAUCAGUACCAUAGGAUGAGACUGCUUUUACCUAAGAAGAAAGCUCUCAUGGUAUUUGUCAAAUUCCAGAACAGCGAGGGCACAGCCAUUUAUAACAGUUCCUUAUGAGUCCUUUACAUGGUAGUGUGCACACUUGGACCAGCAAAUAUUUAAGAUGAAAUGCUACCCAGUGGAUUACAUCUGAGAAAGAAAGCAAUGAGUACUUGAGGACUCCUGCUACUAGUGUGCCAUGGACCCUCUAUUGCAAUGACAAAAGUGAAAACAUAAAAUGUCAACCUCUGGACCAAUGUGUGGUUAGUGCCACCGCAGCACUGUUGCCCCAGGAUGCCCUGAAUAAACCAUUGUUGUGGUUUCCCUGACAGACAGCUUGUCGGCAAAUGAUCAGUAUUGGCCAUGAUUUCGGGCUAAUUUCAUGGAUGUUUUCCAGUUUCCGUGAUCUUCCGUUCCCGUUUUCCAAACAAAAGUGCUUCUGAAAAUUUCUGUUUAACAUCUUUCACUUUGAAUAAAGAGAACACG